GUAGGUGGCAAGCGUUGUCCGGAAUUAUUGGGCGUAAAGCGCGCGCAGGCGGUUCUUUAAGUCUGAUGUGAAGCCCACGGGCUCAACCGUGGAGGGUCAUUGGAAACUGGAGAACUUGAGUACAGAAGAGGAAAGCGGAAUUCCACGUGUAGCGGUGAAAUGCGUAGAGAUGUGGAGGAACACCAGUGGCGAAGGCGGCUUUCUGGUCUGUAACUGACGCUGAGGCGCGAAAGCGUGGGGAGCAAACAGGAUUAGAUACCCUGGUAGUCCACGCCGUAAACGAUGAGUGCUAAGUGUUAGGGGGUUUCCGCCCCUUAGUGCUGCAGCUAACGCAUUAAGCACUCCGCCUGGGGAGUACGGCCGCAAGGCUG
rnacentral:rRNA from 1 species